UUGCCAGGUGUUUGGUGGCUCCAAGCUAAUGCUUGGGAUGGAGCCUGAGUGACGAUGAGUAGGGAGCUCGCCAGGCCCUGCUGUGAAGCUGUUGGAGUUCUCUGAUAGCACAGAGCAAAGACCUGCCGGGGUAGUCACAGCCAGAAGAGGACCAGAGAUUUUGACACACGCAGGAGAAUGCUGAGCAGUACCCUGCACCUGUUCAGUGAAGAACUUGAUGAUCCUGGAGAUCUUUUUGUAAAUUAUUUUAGCCUCCUUCUGUACAGCGAGGAAACAUAAAAGAGGACAGAACCUUGCAACAUGAAGAGCUAUGUCCUUAUACCAUGAACUAAAAGGACAGAAGAGUGGUGUUUUAUUAUGAGUGCAUUCAUAGCACAUAAUUAACAUUCUGCUAAA
rnacentral:lncRNA from 1 species